CAUUUAUCAAUGAGAGAGCUGUAGCCAGUAAGAGGCUUGCAGAAAGAAGAAAACCUAGCAAGGAGCUUCAGGGGAUGCCUUGAGAUACUUCACCAAAAACGAAGCUGAUUCCCCUGACUGUCACCUUCUUAUGUUCUUGCACUGAUGCUGCCUUAAAUUCAGACUUAAACAAGGCUGUAUCUGAGGAGUUAUGUAUACAAGGUAAGGCAUCCUGCUUUGCGGAUUUUGCUCUACAGGACAUUUUCUGGAUCGAUGACUUGCUCACGAGAGUUUGUGCACAUGUUUACAAAGUCUUGACCUGUCUGCUGCAACAACCUAGGUGCUGAACACACCCUACAAAAGAAAGAAAUGCAAGCCUCAAGUACAAACGAAGGUUUGCUGUAGUUGUAGCUCCUUGUUGUUGAAAACAGGCUACCAAACAGGCUACAGUCAUGCAACUGAAUAUGCCACCUUUUCUCUUCUAAAAUAUCAUUGUGAAAGUAGACUAGUGAAUCCUUGACUGACAGAUAAAAGUAUGAGCCAAGACAAUUAAUUAAGUAGUCAAUAGCAACUCAUCCCAAAUGUUUGCAAUAAGCAAUAUGACUAAGUAUAGAAGCAGCAUUGCAUUUAAGCUCCAGAUACUUAUCAAUACUGGUAGAAAGCACUCCAAAAAAUUGGAUGUUGUUUGUGGUAGAUCAUUUCAGCAGUGAUUCAUCAAAUGCUAUCGCGUAUAUCUGACAGAACUCAAAACUGGCAAAUGUUCUAAUGGAACAUAAU